rnacentral:rRNA from 1 species
AUACGUAGGUGGCAAGCGUUAUCCGGAAUUAUUGGGCGUAAAGAGGGAGCAGGCGGCAGCAAGGGUCUGUGGUGAAAGCCUGAAGCUUAACUUCAGUAAGCAAUAGAAACCAGGCAGCUAGAGUGCAGGAGAGGAUCGUGGAAUUCCAUGUGUAGCGGUGAAAUGCGUAGAUAUAUGGAGGAACACCAGUGGCGAAGGCGACGAUCUGGCCUGCAACUGACGCUCAGUCCCGAAAGCGUGGGGAGCAAAUAGGAUUAGAUACCCUAGUAGUCCACGCCGUAAACGAUGAGUACUAAGUGUUGGAUGUCAAAGUUCAGUGCUGCAGUUAACGCAAUAAGUUAUCCACCUGGGGAGUACGUUCGCAAGAAUGAAACUCAAAUGAAUUGGCGGGG